AGAGAGAGAGCGCCGCGUACGCCAUCCCGCCCGCAAGCCCGUUAGGAUUUCUGCGGCGUCCUUUUUUUCUUAUCUCUAUGGUUCUUCCCGGACCGAGAAAGUGCGGGACUCGACCACGUGACCUCCCGCGGCCGGAGUCUCUUCCUCGAAGUUGGCGCCGCCCUCGCCGUGGAAUAGAGGCGGAGCCGAGGAAGCCUCGAAGCGUAGAAUGAAUGGCAGAGCUGGAAGGGAGGGACCCCGAGGGGUCAUCUAGUCCAACCCCCUGCAAUGCAGGAAUCUCAGCUAGAUCAUAGGAUCGUAGAUGCAGACGAGGAGGAGAAUGGCAAAGAGAACUUGCGCAGGACAGGCUGGUAAUACACGCAACUUGCGCAACUUUGAAGCCUCCUCAUUUGCUGCCGCAGUAAGAGCACAAGGCCAUCUCACGUGAGGCUUUCCGCGUGCGUAUUGUUUGUUUCUCGUUUAUUUCAUGCAGUUGACACUGAGGGGUCUCUGCUACAACUUAUACCGCCCCAUAAAUCUUUUUCAUCUUCUAUAUGUUUCAUACCCCUCUUAAUUUCUCACUGCGGGUUUUCUCUCCAAUUGAAAUGAAAGAGAAAUAUUCAUAUUUCUUCCAUCCUUGAUUAAUCCUUGAUUAAAACCAAUGUUGUCUACUGUUGUCAUUCUUUAAUACCAAUUGUACCCUAUAGUUAAUGUUCGCAAAUAAUCAAACUUCAUGCUAAUUUGCUUCUUUUUCUGUCAAAAGGCAAACUUUUUUAUGUCUUCUUUCUGUCUGCUAAUUGCUAAGGCAGGGGACGUGGGGCAAUACUAUUAAAACUAUAGGUGUCUCCUUAAAUGUUCAAUGAAAUUGUUUUUAAAGAUUUGUUUAAAUGUCCCUCCCCUUUUCAUCAUCAUCAACAACAACAAUACUACCCUAUUUUUGCUUCUGCUGCUUCUUUUUUAUUGGGAAUCUUUUCUCUGUGUCUCUUUCUUGGAGUUGGGCUUUAAAAAGAUGGUUUCCUAGCAGCAGAAUGCAGAAGGCCCAUUCAUAUUACAAUGGGCAGAGAGGAAAGAAAGAGGCUGGUUUGUUUAAACUGCUUCUGUCUUCAUUCACAGCCUGAUAUCCAUGGGCAUUGUGCCGGCUACAAUAGAACUAAAGGACGUAUUGUGGCCGAAAACAAAUCAAAACAGAAGAAGCAAUG